rnacentral:rRNA from 1 species
CCUACGGGUGGCAGCAGUGAGGAAUAUUGGUCAAUGGACGCAAGUCUGAACCAGCCAUGCCGCGUGCAGGAAGACGGCUCUAUGAGUUGUAAACUGCUUUUGUACGAGGGUAAACGCAGAUACGCGUAUCUGUCUGAAAGUAUCGUACGAAUAAGGAUCGGCUAACUCCGUGCCAGCAGCCGCGGUAAUACGGAGGAUUCAAGCGUUAUCCGGAUUUAUUGGGUUUAAAGGGUGCGUAGGCGGUCGGAUAAGUUAGCGGUGAAAUCCCGAGGCUCAACUUCGGAAUUGCCGCUGAUACUGUUCGUCUAGAGAGUAGUUGCGGUAGGCGGAAUGUAUGGUGUAGCGGUGAAAUGCUUAGAGAUCAUACAGAACACCGAUUGCGAAGGCAGCUUACCAAGCUACUUCUGACGUUGAGGCACGAAAGCGUGGGGAGCAAACAGGAUUAGAUACCCCUGUAGUC